AUAAAAACAUUGAAUGAAACAGCUCGCAAUGAUUGCCACCGGUUACAUAUGGGUUACGCAUCGCCUUGACAAAUCGUUGUAAAUUGUCAGAAUGCAGUAAAAAUUCAAACACACGGCUACUGAUAUGCAUCCAGGGUGGUAAGACAUAUUGACACUUCGGUCGAAAACUCAGCGGGGUGUCCUUCUAUAGAUCUUCUACGAACGCCGUGUGGGAUAUACCUGAUUGAGACCACAAAGGUACGUUUCAAUUAUAAAUUAUAGACAUUAAUGUACCGAAUAGGUGUUUUAGUGAUGGUAAACCAAAAAAAAUUAAGAUCUUAAAUAAAACUUUGGAGUCCAUCUUUAUGGAUCUCUAUUAGCUAUGG